AGAGCUCGGUCUUCUCCAUCCCAUGAGGGUGCACACAGAGGCGUGUACCUUGGCAACCCAGGAAGAAGGCUUCCCCAGAGGCCAUCUUUUGGUGUUUUGAUCCUGGACUUUCCAGCCUCUAGGAAUGUGAGAGGCAGAUGAUUAAUGAUUAUGCUACUCCACCUCUGGAGUUUUAUUCUGGCAGCCUGAGCUAAGACGGCAGACUUGAUGGCAACUGCCAAACUAAAGUAAAUGGGAAGUAAUAAUGGCCAAGCCAUUUGCUUAUGACUUCCUAUGCAACGUGAUCAAUGGAAGAUGGCAUAGAAUCAGCCAUCUUCGGACUAUGUAGUUUUCAGAGUUAUCCUGGAUUCCAACAUGGAUAUGAGACAUGUUUGACAGUGGUCAUCAGGUCGUGUAAGGCUCUGAGGAGAAAUAAGAAUGUCUGCUUGUGGAGGUAAGGGAGAUUUUAGAGACCCACAGGAGAGAACUCUGCCAGGCACAGCACCACUGGGAGGUGAGGAGGGGAGACAUGGCCAACAGUGUCAGAGGGAGGGCAUGUGCCCCUUGGGGACUCCUACAUGGGGCGUUCUGGUAAGAGUUGGCUAAAUGUGUCAGAAACGUCAAAUAAUGCCAAAGUGGGGUAAUGGCCCUGGAGCUGAGGGGCCUGGCACACAGGAGAGCACCCAGAGGUGACAGUCUUGUGGCUUGUCUCCACCCAAGCACACAGACUCAGAUCCAUAUGGUGGGCAAACACUGGCCGGCUGGAUAGCGAAACGGGGAGUGUUUGGUUGUGCUGUUGUGGACUUAAAAUAGUCCCACAGCGAACUGACUGGUUUGAUAAUCAUCUCAUCUACUGUGUACCUGUCACAUGCCUUCCUUGCAGGAAGGACACCCCUAACACGCUUCAGAUGCUGUGGUUUCCCCCUAGUUCUCCUUGAGCACAUAGCUCAGGGACUAAUGGGCUUCUUAUGGCUAGAGGCGUCUUUGUUCUUUCUACAACUGUGGGUUUCUGGGCCCUUUGUGCUACUGUCUUAGUCUGUUAGACACUUUGUGUCGG